rnacentral:rRNA from 1 species
CCUACGGGGGGCUGCAGUGGGGAAUAUUGCACAAUGGACGAAAGCCUGAUGCAGCAACGCCGCGUGAAGGAUGAAGGGUUUCGGCUCGUAAACUUCUAUUAACAGGGACGAAGGAAAUGACGGUACCUGAAUAAGAAGCCUCGGCUAACUACGUGCCAGCAGCCGCGGUAAUACGUAGGGGGCAAGCGUUAUCCGGAAUUACUGGGGGUAAAGGGUGAGUAGGCGGCUUGGUAAGCCAGAUGUGAAAGGCCUGAGCUUAACCCGGGGAUUGCAAUUGGAACUAUCAAGCUUGAGUACAGGAGAGGCAAGCGGAAUUCCUAGUGUAGCGGUGGAAUGCGUAGAUAUUAGGAAGAACACCAGUGGCGAAGGCGGAUUUCUGGACUGAAACUGACGCUGAGGCACGAAAGCGUGGGGAGCGAACAGGAUUAGAUACCCCUGUAGUC